rnacentral:rRNA from 1 species
CUACGAAGGGUGCAAGCGUUAAUCGGAAUUACUGGGCGUAAAGCGCGCGUAGGUGGUUUUGUAAGUUGGAGGUGAAAGCCCCGGGCUCAACCUGGGAAUUGCCUCCAAAACUGCAUGACUAGAGUACGGUAGAGGGUAGUGGAAUUUCCUGUGUAGCGGUGAAAUGCGUAGAUAUAGGAAGGAACACCAGUGGCGAAGGCGACUACCUGGACUGAUACUGACACUGAGGUGCGAAAGCGUGGGGAGCAAACAGGAUUAGAUCCCCUGGUAGUCCACGCCGUAAACGAUGUCAACUAGCCGUUGGGAUCCUUGAGAUCUUAGUGGCGCAGCUAACGCAUUAAGUUGACCGCCUGGGGAGUACGGCCGCAAGGUUAAAACUCAAAUGAAUUGACGGGG